rnacentral:rRNA from 1 species
CAGAGGGGGCAAGCGUUGUUCGGAAUUACUGGGCGUAAAGGGCGCGUAGGCGGCCCGCUAAGCCGAACGUGAAAUCCCCGAGCUCAACUCGGGAACUGCGUCCGAUACUGGCGGGCUUGAAUCCGGGAGAGGGAUGCGGAAUUCCAGGUGUAGCGGUGAAAUGCGUAGAUAUCUGGAGGAACACCGGUGGCGAAGGCGGCAUCCUGGACCGGCAUUGACGCUGAGGCGCGAAAGCUAGGGGAGCAAACGGGAUUAGAUACCCCGGUAGUCCUAGCCCUAAACGAUGAAUGCUUGGUGUGGCGGGUAUCGAUCCCUGCCGUGCCGAAGCUAACGCAUUAAGCAUUCCGCCUGGGGAGUACGGUCGCAAGGCUG